GUUUCACCAGUGACUUGGUGACAACCAGCCUUGCUCAGGAAGUGGCAGCCGUGUCCUUUCUGUGUGCAGUGGGGUGUGGGUUGUGUGGAGCCGCGGUGUCUGUGGAGUUCACAGGCUGGGGUCGGAAUCCAUGGCCCCCGUCGCCGCUGCCACCCCUCAGGCAUUUGUUUUAUUGCUCUUUUUUCACCAACUCAAACUGAAUGGUCACCUUAACAGUUUUAUUGAGAUCUAUUAUUUAUUCUUCUCCAUCUUGUUCUGUGUUCCUGGAAGCCAACUUUUAUAAGCUGCAGAAAAUGGACUUCCUACUCUCCAGCUUCUGAUUGGGCUUGACCAAUGGGGAGCACUGGCAGAAGACAAGCACGGGAGGAAAAAGAGAUCAGGGUAUUCAUUUCCUCAGAUCCCUCCCUGUCCUCUACUUAAAGGUCAUAAGUCCAUCCAGUGUCAUCUCUUAUGCAGGAUUCUAGCGACAUCUUCUCCCCUUGUUCCUUUAGGCUUAGGAGUAAUAACACUUUUCUGUUCUUGCUAGUCCUGAGGAUAAGUGUUUUGUCAUCUCUUGUUGAUUUCCCUGACUUCAAAUACCAAACACUAUUUUUUUCCUAUUUUUGAACUUUAUGUAAGUAGAAUCAUACAGUAUAUAUUUUGGGGGGUAAGGUUUUGUUUUGUUUUGUUUUGUUUUACUCAAUAAUAGUUUUGUGAGCGUCAUCCAUGCUGUUGCAUAAAACAGUAGUUUGUUUUCAUUGCUGCAUAGCAUUUUUCAUUUAUACAUUGUACUAUUAAUAAAUAUUUGAGGGUUUUUUUCCCAAAA
rnacentral:lncRNA from 1 species